rnacentral:rRNA from 1 species
UACGAAGGGGGCUAGCGUUGUUCGGAAUUACUGGGCGUAAAGCGCACGUAGGCGGAUUGUUAAGUCAGAGGUGAAAUCCCGGAGCUCAACUUCGGAACUGCCUUUGAUACCGGCAAUCUCGAGUCCGGAAGAGGUUAGUGGAAUUCCCAGUGUAGAGGUGAAAUUCGUAGAUAUUGGGAAGAACACCAGUGGCGAAGGCGGCUAACUGGUCCGGUACUGACGCUGAGGUGCGAAAGCGUGGGGAGCAAACAGG